UCAACCUAUGGGACGCAGCAGUGGGGAAUAUUGCACAAUGGGGGGAACCCUGAUGCAGCGACGCGGCGUGGGUGAGGAAGUACUUCGGUAUGUAAAGCCCUAUCAGCAGGGAAGAAAAUGACGGUACCUGACUAAGAAGCCCCGGCUAACUACGUGCCAGCAGACGCGGUAAUACGUAGGGGGCAAGCGGUAUCCGGAUUUACUGGGUGUAAAGGGAGCGUAGACGGGGUGCCAAGUCUG
rnacentral:rRNA from 1 species